UACGGAGGGUGCAAGCGUUAAUCGGAAUUACUGGGCGUAAAGCGCACGCAGGUGGCUGAGAAAGUCGAUUGUGAAAGCCCUGGGCUUAACCUGGGAAUUGCAGUCGAAACUACUCGGCUAGAGUAUGGGAGAGGGUAGUGGAAUUCCCGGUGUAGCGGUGAAAUGCGUAGAUAUCUGCAGGAACACCCGUGGCGAAAGCGGCGCGCUGGACCACAACUGACGCUGAAUGACGAAAGCUAGGGGAGCAAACAGG
rnacentral:rRNA from 1 species